GACGAACGCUGGCGGCGUGCUUAACACAUGCAAGUCGAACGGAAAGGCCUGCCUUCCCUUGUGGACUGCGGGUACUCGAGUGGCGAACGGGUGAGUAACACGUGGGUGAUCUGCCCCCAACUUGGGUAUAAGCCUGGGAAACUGGGUCUAAUUCCCGAUAGGACUGCAGGGUGGUGCCUGUGGUGGAAAACGAUUUUCUAGUGGUUGGGGAUGAGCUCGCGGCCUAUCAGCUUGUUGGUGGGGUAAUGGCCUACCAAGGCGGCGACGGGUAGCCGGCCUGAGAGGGUGGACGGCCACAUUGGGACUGAGAUACGGCCCAGACUCCUACGGGAGGCAGCAGUGGGGAAUAUUACACAAUGGGCGGAAGCCUGAUGCAGCGACGCCGCGUGGGGGAUGACGGCCUUCGGGUUGUAAACUCCUUUCGACCGCGAGGAAGCCACCUGGUUGGAAGGGUGGUGACGGUAGUGGUAGAAGAAGCACCGGCUAACUACGUG
rnacentral:rRNA from 1 species